GCCGCCGUAGCUUAGCUGGUGGAGCGGCUGAUUCGUAAUCAGCAGGUCAGGGGUUCAAAUCCCUUCGGCGGCU
rfam:Thermoplasmatales archaeon SM1-50 WOR1_30_36_23539, whole genome shotgun sequence.